rnacentral:rRNA from 1 species
GACGAACGCUGGCGGCGUGCUUAACACAUGCAAGUCGAACGGAAAGGCCCUGCUUUUGUUGGGUGCUCGAGUGGCGAACGGGUGAGUAACACGUGAGUAACCUGCCCUUGACUUUGGGAUAACUUCAGGAAACUGGGGCUAAUACCGGAUAGGAGCUCCUGCUGCAUGGUGGUGGUUGGUAAGUUUCGGCGGUUGGGGCUGGAUUGGCGGCUUAUCAGCUUCUUGGUGAGGUAGUGGCGUACCAAGGCUUUGACGGGUAGCCGGCCUGAGAGGGUGACCGGCGACAUUGGGCCUACGAGACGGCCCAGAAUCGUACGGGAGGCAGCAGUCGGGAAUAUUGCACAGUGGCCGGAAGCGUGAUGCAGCAACGCCGCGUGCGGGAUGACGGCCUACGAGUUGUAAACAGAUUUCGAAUGUGACGAAGCGUGAGUGACGGUAAUGGGUAAAAAAGCACCGGCUAACUACGUG